CCCGUCACACCAUGGGAGUCUGCAAUGCCCAAAGCCGGCGUUCUAACCUUCGGGAAGGAGCCGUCUAAGGCAGGGCAGAUGACUGGGGUGAAGUCGUAACAAGGUAGCCGUAGGAGAACCUGCGGCUGGAUCACCUCCUUUCUAAGGAAGCGAAGGAUAUGGAGAGUAGAAAUACUAAGAGAAGUAUCCAGAGCAAGCGGAAGCACACUAAGAAACUUUGUUUAGUUUUGAGGGUAGUAUCAAAAGAGUUAGUACAUUGAAAACUGAAUAUAAUCCAAGCAAAAAACCGAGACAAUCAAAGAGAACAGAUUGUAGAGCGCCGAGAAGAGAAUUCUUGGGUAAGGUCAAGUAGAAAAGGGCGCACGGUGAAUGCCUAGGCACUAACAGCCGAUGAAGGACGUGACGAACUACGAAAAGCUUCGGGGAGCGGUAAGUACGCAGUGAUCCGGAGAUGUCCGAAUGGGGGAACCCAAUGCAGCGAUGCAUUAUUGGUUGAUGAAUAGAUAGUCAAUCAAAGGAAGACGCAGUGAACUGAAACAUCUAAGUAGCUGCAGGAAGAGAAAGAAAAAUCGAUUUCCUUAGUAGCGGCGAGCGAAGAGGAAAGACCCCCGGCCAAGUGAUUUAUCAUUUGGGGUUGUAGGACUGCAAAGUGGUAGCGUAAGCGAUAGUUGAAUUAUCUGGGAAGGUAAGCCAGAGAGGGUGAGAGCCCCGUAAGCGAAAUUGCGAGCGCGCCUAGCAGAAUCCUGAGUAGGCCGGGACACGAGGAAUCCCGGUUGAAGCCGCGAGGACCAUCUCGCAAGGCUAAAUACUAGUUAGUGACCGAUAGUGAACCAGUACCGUGAGGGAAAGGUGAAAAGAACCCCGGAAGGGGAGUGAAAGAGAACCUGAAACCGUGUGUCUACAAGUAGUCAAAGCACAUUAAAGUGCGAUGGCGUGCCUUUUGUAGAAUGAACCGGCGAGUUACGUUAUCUAGCGAGGUUAAGUCAGAAAAGACGGAGCCGGAGCGAAAGCGAGUCUGAAUAGGGCGAAGAGUUAGGUGACGUAGACCCGAAACCAAGUGACCUACCCAUGGCCAGGCUGAAGGUGUGGUAAAACGCACUGGAGGGCCGAACCCACGUAAGUUAAAAAUUGCGGGGAUGAGCUGUGGGUAGCGGUGAAAUUCCAAACGAACUUGGAGAUAGCUGGUUCUCUCCGAAAUAGCUUUAGGGCUAGCCUCGUGGAGAGGAUAAUGGAGGUAGAGCUCU
rnacentral:sRNA from 1 species